CGCGGCGUAGCUCAACGGCUAGAGCGUUCGCUCGAUAAGCGAUUAAUGAAGGUUCGACUCCUUCCGCCGCGA
rnacentral:tRNA from 1 species